rnacentral:rRNA from 1 species
ACGCUCGACACCUACGGGGCAGCAGUGGGGAAUAUUGCACAAUGGGGGGAACCCUGAUGCAGCGACGCCGCGUGAGUGAAGAAGUACUUCGGUAUGUAAAGCUCUAUCAGCAGGGAAGAAAAUGACGGUACCUGACUAAGAAGCCCCGGCUAACUACGUGCCAACAGCCGCGGUAAUCUGAGCGGGCUGGCAAGGC